GAUGAAGAACGCAGCGAAAUGCGAUAAGUAGUGUGAAUUGCAGAAUUCAGAGAAUCAUCGAAUCUUUGAACGCACAUUGCGCCCCUUGGUAUUCCAUGGGGCAUGCCUGUUCGAGCGUCAUUUGUACCUUCAAGCUUUGCUUGGUGUUGGGUGUUUGUCCAUUCUCUUGCAGAGGGACUCGCCUUAAAGUAAUUGGCAGCCAGUGUUUUGGUUUUGAAGCGCAGCACAAGUCGCGAUUCAACGCUAUACACCAGCUUCCACAAGCCUUUUUCACUUUUGACCUCGGAUCAGGUAGGGAUACCCGCUGAACUUAAGCAUAUCAAUAAGCGGAGGA
rnacentral:misc_RNA from 1 species